GCAUGGGCACCAGGUACUCGAGUGGCGUACCGAUCCGCCUGGAGAAUAUGGUCUAGUUGGUGCGUGGAACGGUCAGUGGAUCCCAUAUCUGCCCCUUUACAUGUGAUCAUGGAAUUCCUUACUGAGAUGUUUGAAUCUGGGAAGGCGUACCGCACCAUUAAUCUAUGCCGAUCCGCUAUAUCAGCCGGACACCAAGGCUUGGAUGGUUCGCCCGUAGGACGUCACCCCUUUGUAUGCCGACUGCUCAAGGGGAUCCGUCUCACCAGACCGCCCCGUGCGAGAUUCACUGCCUUCUGGGACGUGAAUGUGGUCCUUCAAUUCUUGUCGGCUUGGUAUCCAAAUCAGGAUCUCACACUGAAACAGCUGUCAGCGAAGGUGGUCAUGUUGCUAUGCCUUAUCUCUUGCAAGAGGGUGUCGGAUGUUCGGGCACUGGACUGGAAUGCCAUUGCGUUCACCCCGGAGGGCAUCUCCUUUAACAUAUCCAGGAGAACGAAGUCGGCUUCGAAGGUGUUUGUUUACCCUAGAUUCCAGGGAAACCCGGCUAUCUGUCCAGUCGAAUGCCUUCAGGCCUACCUCGAGGUUACUCGACCGUUGCGAUCCCCGGAGCUAUGCCCCUUGUUCAUCUCGCUUCGA